rnacentral:rRNA from 1 species
GAUGAACGCUGGCGGCGUGCCUAAUACAUGCAAGUCGAGCGAACGGACGAGAAGCUUGCUUCUCUGAUGUUAGCGGCGGACGGGUGAGUAACACGUGGAUAACCUACCUAUAAGACUGGGAUAACUUCGGGAAACCGGAGCUAAUACCGGAUAAUAUUUUGAACCGCAUGGUUCAAAAGUGAAAGACGGUCUUGCUGCCACUUAUAGAUGGAUCCGCGCUGCAUUAGCUAGUUGGUAAGGUAACGGCUUACCAAGGCAACGAUGCAUAGCCGACCUGAGAGGGUGAUCGGCCACACUGGAACUGAGACACGGUCCAGACUCCUACGGGAGGCAGCAGUAGGGAAUCUUCCGCAAUGGGCGAAAGCCUGACGGAGCAACGCCGCGUGAGUGAUGAAGGUCCUCGGAUCGUAAAACUCUGUUAUUAGGGAAGAACAUAUGUGUAAGUAACUGUGCACAUCUUGACGGUACCUAAUCAGAAAGCCACGGCUAACUACGUG